CCCCCACCCCAACCCAGCCUGCGUGGGGUGUAUUCUUCCCCACUAGGGGCAUUUGGGCCAUUUUUUUUUUCUCUGUCAAUGUUCGGUCGAGACGAUGUUUCCUAGAGGGCCUCCUUCACUUACAGCCUGGUCUGUCCAUCUCCCUUCAUCCCACCCUCGUCCGUCUUAGCCCCUUGUCCAGGAGCCCUGCUCCCCAAGUGAGGAGCACGUGGCGGAAGGAGGAGGAGGCCCUCUCUUGAAGACCCCCACGCUGUGACCCAGCCCAUUUGUUUAAAUAUUUAUCCUCACAUCACCAGCUGUACUUUUCAACCCACUGGAACAAGACGCCUAGGCAAGGUCCAGUUUCCCCAAAAAGCUGGGGGCAAAGUGGGAGAGAUGAGGAUUUUAUUGACAUUGGGAGAGAAGGGGCCAAGGAACCUUCCCAAGUGGAGACUGAAACUCAAAAAAUCUCUACAAAAAGACUAGGGUGACUGGAGGCUCAGGACUGCAGGCUUAGGAGAAACUGGAGCUCCAUCAACUUUAUUUCUCUCCCCCUGCCUCUCCUCCCCCCAGCUCUGAGGAAGCUAACAGGUCUUUUGUUUUGUAUUGUGUAGCCUUUGGGAAAUUUGCAUUGAGUAUGUCAACAGAAAAUUACUACUGUUUACUCAAAGGGAUUGCAGAAAGAGAAAACAUAGUAACAUAGUUUUUACUUUUCCUCUUCUUUGUACGCGUGUGUGUAUUUGGCAAGAAGUGUAGUUAGGUUCAUGGCAUGAACUGCAAAACGUCAGGUUGUAACAAUAAGGACUGUAGAGCUGCCUAGGUGUAUUUUUAGAAGCCGCACUUUCUUGAAUUCCUUUCACACAAGGCUUGCUCUCUCAUUAAGUCCCCAUAAAUAAUUUUAUUUAGAGAGGAGGAAACUAUGGAAGCAGGAGGGAGAUUGCUAAGAUUUCCAUCCUGCCAGCGCACAGCACUGUUUGCAGGGAAGUUCCUGGAAAGUGAUUGUGGGCUGAGAAUUCAGUUUUUCCUAAAAGCUCUGUUAGGUCCUGUUGUGUCAGAUGGCUAUGAAUAAAGCACGCUGGGAAAAUCCUGAUAUCCGUGCAGUCUUAUUUUAUCUUUUACACAGUGGUUGAUUCGACUUUCAAGCCCUGGUGACAAACACAUCAACUCUGCUGUAUUUUUGUGUGCUUUUUCUAAAUAAAGGAGAAUACAGCAUGUAUUCAUGCUGCUUUUUUCCCCUCAUCCAUGGUUAUUGAAUUCACUGGAAUUUAUUCAUCUUUUUUCAGUUGAUCAUCAUUUUAUGCCGAGACCACAAUUCCAAACAUAUAGGAAUUUUUUAAAAUUAUGAAUUAGGGUUCUUUUAGGGAACCAACCCUCCUUUUUAAAGAUACAAGUGCCCACCACAACUCCUAGUUUUGUAAAGCAAAGCAAAAAGGUAUAAAUGAUUAUAAUGAGCAAAACAUAGUAAAACGUUUUCCUUCUUGGAUCACUUUCUGCCCCCACAGGUCCCAGGAGACAUUAAAUCCUCCUGCCUUAAUUUACCAAAAUGCUGCAUUUCCUAACCAGUAACAAUAUCUGUGUCUGAGAAAGACAUCAGGUUUGGAAUGGAAAAAAAUACAUUCUCGGUAUUUAAUUACUGCUUAACAGUAAUUUAUGGUAGCAGGCAGUUGAUUUUCCAAUUCUGAAAGCCUGAAAUGAAGCUGAACAGAAAUUUGAAAUUUUUAAAAAAGGUUUUUUUUUCUUUCUUGCACUCUUAUAUACUCAUCUGCUUCCCCAAGUUAUCAGCCAAGCCCCUAUAACUUAAAGUAUGAUAUGCUCCUCUGAGUUGAACCGAGACCAUUUUGCCCCUCAUUUUUUGAAUUUGCUUUUUCCUCCAAAUAGUCUUGUAUAGAAAGCACAUGGGCUCUGUUAGAAUACAGAACUAUGCAAUUCUGGGUGCAGUGCAUUAAAUAACAUAGUUUGAUAAACUCUUAAGCCUUACAGCUCACAUAGUAGGGGUUUAUUAAAUAUUAAGAUGUUAAUAAAAUAUUGUAGUUGGCCACAAAUUUCAUAGCACAAGGCUAAGAUCAUUUUUCAGAAGAAAGGGGCAUUUAAUCUGGAUUAUUUGGUUAGUUGCUAUGGUCUGAAUGUUAGUGUUCCCCCAAUAUUGGGGUUCAUGUGUUAGAACCUAAUAUCAAAAGUGAUAGUAUUAAGAAGUAGGGCCUUUGGGAAGUGAUUAAGUCAUGAAGGCUUCAACCCUCAUGAGUGACAGGAGUACCUUUAUAAGACAGGCUGAAUCUAGCUACCUUGCCCCUUCCACUGUGUGAGGACACAGCAACAAAAGUGCCAUCUGUGAAGCAAGGAAUGAGCCUUCACCAGACACUGAAUCUGCUGGUGCUGUAAUCUUGGACUCCUCAGCUUCCAGAACUGUGAGCAAUAAAUUUCUGUUGCUUAUAAAUUACCCAGUCAAAGAUAAUUUGUUGUAGCACCUCAAAUGAACUAACACAAUAAUACAUUUGUGCUACUAGAUUUUUUUUAACAAGUCCAAAUCUAACUUAAAUGACUGAAAGACAAAUCUGGAACAUAUCAAAUGGCCAAUAAUAGUAGCUGGUAUCAAAAGCUGCACUGGUUAUUUCCUUAAAAGAAUAGACAUAAAAUAUUGCCUACUAAAUAUUAGAAGAAAGAUCAAGGGAAAGGAUAAAACAGCAUUGGCCUUGAAGGAAGUUAUUUGCUGGAAAAAAGACAUCAAAACGUGAAAAGACAAUGGAUCAGUUAGUGGUUUGAAUCAAAGAAAUACUUGAGGAAGAAAAUAUAUAUAUAUAUAUAUGUACGUAUUUUUCUCUUAAGACCAGAGGAAUCAGAGAUCCUAAAGCUCUAGGUUGGAAGGUAUUUUUAAAGUUAACUUGUUCUGUCAAAUCUUUAGAGGCCAUUCAAUGCAGACAAUUUGGGUGUGAAGGGGAACUUACUACUUACCGCCAUUAAGGCAAGGAUUUUUACCUAUACCGUACUUACCAGAGAAUAGAGUUCACUAUAUAUUGUGCAAGUGAAUGGAUAAUUUCAAAAGUAUUUCAUUUUAUCUUUAUAUAGUUUAUUAUGUUUUUACCUUAUAUAUAUUUUUUACCUUAUAUUGCACAGAAUUAGUCUUCCUGAAACUUCCAACCGUUAGUCUUCGUCCUGCCAGUUGCAGCCAAACAGAACAAAUUUGUUUAUCAGUCAAGAUAGGCAGUGUGCUGGAGUAACAAUUCCAAUUUUUUAGUGGCCUGUAACAGCAAACGUUUUCUUGGUUAUGGUUUGAAUCCAUUGCAGUUCAGCUGGUCUGUUCCAUGUCUGUCACUCCAGGUCCCUGGCUAAUGGAACAGUUGCCAUCUUGAAUGUUUCAUGUUGUUAUGGCAAAAAUAAAGAUCACUCUGGAGGGUUUCAUGCAGUCAUUUAAAUGCUAUGGCCCAGAAAUGCCAUACAUCAUAUGGCCUCACAAAGAAUUAACCAGGAUUAGUUGUGUGGCUCCAAAGAAUCAUGACAAGAAGGUCGGAUAGUGCAGCCUAUCUUGUACCAACAGUAGAGAGCUGUGGUACACAAUUCUGCGGACUACUGCUACUGGUAGUAAUCCUUGUCCAUGUGAUAACCUGCCAGCUAAACAGUCUCUUCCUGUCGCUUUAUGGCCCAAGUCUUCCAUUUUUUAGGGCAAACUGCCAGAGUAGCCACCAGCUUAGAGGGAAACAUUGUUAUCAGGGGAACCCGCCCCCAAUAUUUCAACGUAGAUUCUUUAUAUUUUCCCUAAGGGUCGGCCAGUCUGAGCAAUAAAGAGAAAGAAUACAAAGAGAAGAAUUUUACAGCUGGGCCGCUGGGGAUGACAUCACAUAUCAGUAGAUCCGUGGUGCCCACCUGAGCUGUAAAACCUGCAAGUUUUUAUUAGGGAUUUCAAAAGGGGAAGGUGUGUAUGAACAGGGAGUAGGUCACAAAGAUCACCUGCUUCAAAGGGCAAAAGGCAGAGCAAAGAUCACAUGCUUCUGAGGAAACAGGACCAGAGCAAAAUCAGAAACUCCUGAUAAGGGUCUAUAUUCAGCGGUGCACGUAUUGUCUUGAUAAACAUCUUAACAGAAAACAGGGUUCAAGAGCAGAGAACCAAUCUGACCUCAAAUUUACCAGGGCUGGUGUUUCCCAAUCCUAGUAAGCCUGAGGGUACUGCAGGAGACCAGGGCAUAUCUCAGUCCUUAUCUCAACCACAUAGGACAGACACUCCCGGAGUGGCCAUUUGUAGACCUCCCCCCAGGAAUGCAAUUCUUUUCCUAGGGUCUUAAUAUUAUAUUCCUUGCUAGGAAAAGAAUUUAGCGAUAUCUCUCCUACUUGCACAUCUGUUUAUAGGCUCUCUGCAAGAAGAAAAAUAUGGCUCUUUUUUCCCAACCCCACAGGCAGUCAGACCUUAUAGUUGUCUUCCCUUGUUCCCUGAAAAUUGCUGUUACUCUGUUCUUUUUCAAGGUGCAGUGAUUUCAUAUUGUUCAAGCACACAUGUUUUACAAUCAAUUUGUACAGUUUAACACAAUAGUGGUCCUGAGGUGAUGUACAUUCUCAGCUUACGAAGAUAACGGGAUUAAGAGAUUAAAGACAGGCAUAAGAAGUUAUAAAAGUAUUAAUUUUGGGAACUGAUAAAUGUCCAUGAAAUCUUCACAAUUUAUGUUCAGAGAUUGCAGUAAAGACAGGUGUAAGAAAUUAUAAAAGUAUUAAUUUUGGGAACUGAUAUGUGUCCAUAUUCAAGUGAAAUCUUCACAAUUUAUGUUCCUCUGCUGCGACUCCAGCCGGUCCCUCUGUUUGGGGUCCCUGACUUCCUGCAACACAUUGUGUGACUUCUUUUACUCUCUACUGUCUCUUUGAAUGCAACACUACAACCUCCUGUACCCUUAGAACCCCUAACAAAGUGUGGCCUCUUAUCAAUUUUAUGUCACUCUUUUAUAUUUACUAAUAUUAUAUACAUUGUAUUUUCUCAGGACUUAUUUUCCUGGCAAGGGUAUAAUAAACAGGCAUUUUUAACAACUGUUAUCUGAAAAUGUCAUGAUCAUUAUCAAAAUUUGAAAUUUGGUCUUGAGUAGCUACUUCCCUUGUUGUGAACAUCAAAUGUGUUAUAUGAUUUUGUAACACAAUUUUUAAAAAUCCUUCAUUCAUUCAUUUAUCCUACUUUUGUUCAUUCAAUAAAUAUUCAUUUUCUACCUAGUAGAAGGCAGGCAUUCUUUUAAGGAUUGGGGAUAUGGAGAUGAUUAAGAGUUCUCCUCUUCAAGAAACACAUUUUCUGAUUGGGCAGACAGAAUUAAAAGUCAUUAUAAUGCUAAUAGAAGCACAAAGUGUUAUGUGAACACUUAGAAAGAAGCAAAUAGCUAGCUGGCAGGAUUUAGAAAAGUUCCAUAGAGGAAUUGACACUUAAACUAAGUCUUGAGGAUAAGUGAGACUUCUCCAGGCAGAAAGAGGAGGGAGAGAGGGGAUAUUUCAACCAAGGAGACCAGCAUGGACAAAGACACUGAACAUGACAAAGCUUAUUGUUUAUGGAACUGUAAGGAAUUCAGUGAGGCUGGCACAUGGGGUCUUUGUAAAGACUGAAAAUUCUGAAGGGCCUUGCAGACAUUCUCUGGAGUUCGGACAUUAUCCCAUACAUCAGGAACUGCAAACUCUUAUGUCUACCUUGGGCCAUGCAUGGAUGUACAUGACUAAAGCAGACCAAGUUAAGACUAUAAGCAGUCGUGGGGCUGUGGCAAUGUGAAGAAUAUAUCCUCUGUCCAAAUGGGAUAGUAAAUGCCAUUGGUGCCUCCAUUCUCCAAAGAAAAGCAGGAAAUUUAGAUGUAUAUGAAAAAUUGAAUAUUAAAUGUUGUCAUCUUAUCCAUAUUUUGAAGUACACUGUUAGUCCUUAAGCUAAUUUUGACCUACAGACAAAUUUUGUAUAGCUUUUGCAUGUAUAUUUCUACUGAAGGUCAAAGUGUUUAUACCCAUUGGAGAAUAGUAGCCACUCUUUAUCUGCAAGUUAUAUGUUCCAAGAUCCCCAGUGGAUACCUGAAACUGUGGAUAGUACUGAACUGUAUGUAUACUGUUUUGUCCUAUACAUGCAUACCUGUGAUGAAGUUUAAUUUAUAAAUUAGGCAAAGUAAGAUAUUACUAACAAUAGCUAAUAAUAAAAUUGAAUAGUUAUGAUACACUGUAAUAAAAGAGACUAUGAUCUCUCUCUUUCAAAGUUAUCUUAUUACACUGUACUCACCUAUUUUCAGACUGCAAUUGACCUCAGGUAACUGAAACUCCAGAAGAGAAACCUCAAAUAAAGGAAGACUAUUGCCUGUUUCAUCUCAACCUAUCCCAUAGCCAUGUGCCUAAGGACUGUCUUGAGGAUAUUUAAUUUUUGUCAUUCUUUUAAUUGAGUCCACUAAUUACUUACUCUUCCUAGCUGCUCUCUUGCUUUCAUGCCAGACUUGCCUGCCACUCAAUAGUCAGAAAUAUGCAGCAACACCCCACACUUUCCUAUAACAAUUAUAAUGUUAGAAAUACUAGGUAUCCUUUCAUAACGCAUGCUGACCAUUUUCUUGUAGAUUUGGUCCCAUGGGUACAUCCAGAUUCUUAAAGUCAUUCAAUUCACUGGGCCAUCAGGUCUUUAAGUUCUUGACAACUUGGCUGUACAGAUUACAAAUUUUAUUCGAUCUUCUUGACUGAAAGAAAGUCAACGUUCCUGAGUUGUUUUGUCUAACUUAUAAAUAAUAAAAAUCAUCCAUUUUAUGUGUUCUGUGAGUUUUGAAUAUGAAGGGGCAGCAUGAGCAAAUUAUAUUUUAUGUGAACUUUGAAGUAAAUAAAUAUAUCUAGGCAAAGCCACUUUAGGUGUCCAACUGUCUGGAUUCUAAUCCUGGUUCAAUUAGUUGCUACCUAUGUGACCUAGAGCAAAUCUCCUAAUUUCUUUAUGCCUCAAUUUCCUCAUCCACGUUACAGGGAUGCUAAUAGUUAGUAGAUGGGGUUAGUAGGUGCAGAGUGCUUCAGAAUAGAAAAAUGAAUUUACUAGGAUGUAAGUGGGAUAUAAGUACUUAACUCCUGGAUGACAUGAUGUUGUGCUGGGGGUACACAAGCCAAAGAAGAAUUAUGCCUUCUAUUUCUGGAAUAUUUAUUUUUUACUUGAGGAUUUUAGAAAUUAUUUUAUUAUGAAAACAGUGACACAUAUAAUGGAAUUAACUGUAGCAUUUUGCAUGAAUUUUAAAGAAAAACAAGAGUCUUUAAAGAUCUUUCAGCUGCUUCGGAUUUUGGGGGGAAGAAUGGGAACUGCAUUUUCUUCCUUUUGCUGCACUCUCUCCUUUAUCAGGUUGGUGGAAAUGCUUAUGAUUAGCAGACCAUAUACACUAGUUACAUUAGUUACAUUUACCUCAAAACUGUGAAAGUACCUCCUGUAUUUAUGUGCUAUGAAUGCUGCCCAAGUGCAGAAUCUUUGCCAUUUAAAUGUUCAGAUUUUAAACCAGAAAUGUGUUGGGGUAAAGAAGAAAAUUAUUAGAGCAUGACCUUAGGGAAAUCAAGUCACAAAAAAGAAAAGAGCUGAACUGAAUUCUAUUUCCCAUUCUGUUACUAACCAGCUGGCUUAUUAAUGUCCAUAAAGAGAGAGAUUUUUGUCCUUUUCACUGAUAAUCCUCCACACCUUGAAUAAAUAGAUAAUGUUGAAUGAUCUUGGGAAAGACACUUUGUUAAAGUCUCAGUUUCCUCAGCUGCAAAACAAAUAUGUGAUCUUAAACUUAAACUUUAUUGUGUAUGGAAUUAAAUAGAGUGUUUGUUUAAAAUGCAGGUUCUUUGAGUCCGUGCCCAGAAAUUCAGAUUUGGUAGAACCAGAUGCUAUUCAGCAAUCCACAUGGAUUUGGGGCUUGGGUUGUAAGGAGCAAAAAUCCAACUUAAAAAGGAAGGUUUUAUUUUUUAUUUUGCUUCAUUUUUUGUCCCCCUCUCUUCCCCUCCCCGCACAUAAAUUGGAAAAUACAAUGCAAGGACUGCUUAAGGCAUAAUUAGAUCUAGCUGUUCAAAUAAUGUCACCAACCAUCUUUUGGUUAUGCUUUCUUCUCUUUUAACUUUAUUCUUAGUCUGGUUUUUCCUUUAAGGAGUUCAUUUUUAAGAACUUCAUUCUUAAUCUGCCUUUUCUCCUAGCUUCCAUUCUUCUGACAUAGAAACCCCAGCACAAAGAGUAUUCCUUUUUCUCAAAUUUUCCAGCUAAAGAACUAUGCCCAACUUGACUGUAUUAGAUUAUGUCAGGUACCCAUACCUGCACUCAUCACCAUGGUCAGCACCUGUGAUUCACACCUCAGCAGCCUUGAGUCAAAUGCCCACCUUGGAUUUGGGAGUACAGUCACUCAGCUCAAACCAUGUGGGCUUGGACGUGAAGGUGGGAUGGUUCUCCAAGACAAAUUGGAAUUAAUUUUUUUAGAAAUAAGGAAAAUGGGUGCUUUUUAGCCAAAACUAUAGAUCUCCUUCCACUACUGAGCAUUUUUAAGAUGUAUUUAGAGAUGAAUGAUCCAAAAAUGUUACAAAAAUAUAACCAGUAUUCCAAGACAUUGAGGCAUUCAGCCCUCAAUGUGACAAAGCAGGGGCUGAGAAGUACCUAAGAUGGUCACAGUCCCAGUGCCAGGUGCCUCACCUAUUUACCUCAGUGUUUGGGGAAAAUAUUAAGUAUUUUCCAUGUGUUAUUGUAUUAGUUCGUUUUCACACUGCUAUAAAAACUACCUGAGACUGGGUAAUUUAUAAAGAACAGAGGUUUAAUUGACUCACAGUUCCACAUGGCUGGAGAGGCCUCAGGAAACUUACAGUCAUGGCAGAAGGCAAAGGGAAAGCAAGACAUGUCUUACGUGGCAGCACGAGAGAGAGAGAGAGAGCAAGCGAGGAACUGCCACACACUUUUAAACCAUCAGAUAUCAUCAGAUCUUGAGACAGCACUAGGGGGAUGGUGCUAAACCAUUAAAACCACCCCCAUGAUCCAGUCACCUCCCACCAGGUCCCACGUUCAACUUGUGGGGAUUACAAUUUGACAUGAGAUUUGGGUGGGGACACAGAGCAAAACCAUAUCAGCUAUGAAGGUGAUUUAUGUGCAGGUGAACUGUGACUUGUGCUAUGGGAAUCAGUGGAUUUUGAGAAUCAGUCAAAAUCAUUAUCGUUAUGUUUGACAUGACAUUUUGAAGUCAUCUCAGACAUACAAUAAUAGUACUACUCUAGGAUCUUCAUGACAUAACCUGGAAGUUGGUUGAUGCAAUUGAAAAGACAAAGCCCUAGUACAAAAAAAAAAAAAAUGGGACAAAGAAACAGGCAGGACCAGCAAUUAAAUCUUGCUUUGAUUUUGUUAUCAGUUUGUGUUUAUUUAAUAAUCUUGGACAAAUGUAUUCAUCUAAUGAAUACAGCCCCAGCCUGGAUCCCAGCAUGCCUGGUUCCAAUUAAUGUUUGAAACAUAAUGGAUACAUGCUAUACAGAUAAUGAAAAGGGGUAAGCAGGCAACAGUGUGGAAGACAAAACUGAGUUGACUUAGUUAUCAGAUAGGUCUUAGGUGUAUUACAUGCGAGUUCAUGGAAGUAAAUUCGGAUGAAUGAAUUAUUAACCCCUAUUUUUGUUAAGUGAAGAAGCUGCUAUCAUUUCCUUAAGCUCAUUAAUACAAUUAAUAAAAAUAAAAUGUCUACCUCUUCAUUUUAGUAUUAAGUCAUUAGUUUAGUUUCAGAUGCUUUUCCAUACCCUUGCCCCACUGUUACCUUCACCAAAGUAAUCCAAUGUGCAGAGAAAAGUGUUUUCAACAAAUAAUGCUGGAAUAAAUAGAUAUCCACGUGGGAAAACAAAACAACAUUUAUCCAUAUCAUACCAUACACAAAAUUCAUUUGCAAUGGAUUAUAGAUCCAAAUGUAGAAGCUACAAGUAUAAAGCUUUUAUAGGGAAACAUAAUGUAAAUUGUAGAUAGACAAAGAUUUCUUAGAUGAGCCAUAGAAAACAAUAACCAUAAAAUAAAAAAUAGGUAAAUUACAUGUUAAACUGUAAAACUUAGCAUAAUGGCAUGUGCCUGUAGUCCCAGCUACCCAGGAGGCUGAGGCAGGAGGAUCCCUUUAGCUCAGGAGUUCAAGUCAAGCCGGGGCAUCAUAGCAAGACUGCAUUUCUACGAUUAAUUAAUUAAAAAGUUAUGUUUAAAGAAAAGCAGAGUGAGGAGUGAUAUCUGGAAAUUCCUUAUUAAACAAACAUUACUACUAGAAGGAUUUCCUCUCUUGUGCAUUUAGUUCAAGUUUUUUGUUUGUUUUGUUUUGUUGUUUUUGAGACAGGGGCUCCACUCUAUUGCCCAGGCUGCAGUGCAGUGAUAGAAGCUGACUCUGUGAGCUUAAGCAAAGCACAUGGGGGAUUUUCAUGCAAUCCAAAAUCAGGGAUGCAAUGGAGCCUUAAGAAUAGAAGAACUGGCUGGGCACAGUGGCUCACGCCUGUAAUCCCAGCACUUUGGGAGGCUGAGGUGGGCGGAUCAUGAGGCCAGGAGAUCGAGACCAACAUGGUGAAAACCUGUCUCUACUAAAAAUACAAAAAUCAGCUGGGCGUGGUGGCACACACCUGUAGUCCCAGCUACUUGGGAGGCUGGGGCAGGAGAAUCACUUGAACCUGGGAGGCGGAGGUUGCAGUAAGCCAAGAUUGCACCACUGCACUCCAGCCUGGGUGAGAGAGAGAGAGACUCUGUCUCAAAAAAAAAAAAAAAAAAAAAAAAAGAAUAGAAGAACUAUUGAAGUGCUAUAGGGAACCAAGUCAAUUCUUUCUCUCCAUAUCUCAUCUUUGUCUUUCUUCCUCAGAGUAGUCCAGCUCCCUGCCUCCUCAGUUCACACAGUGAAUCAUGGUUUCUAAUUGUUCUUGAGCCAUUUUCAGUCAGUCCACCCUGAGAAAGGACCAUCUUCCUUUCUUUCACAAUUCUCAGGGAAGAGUCUGAUUGGCCUGCUUGGGUCCAGUGACCACCAUUAUUCCAAUAAGCUGUGACCAGAGGCAGGAUGAUGUUUAAAGAAACAUAGCAUUUUCUUUCAUCUCUUGUAAUGUGGAGUGAAAAGAAAUUGCAUCACAGUUGAGAUCCACUGUACAUUUACUCUUCAUUAGACAUGAGACAGAGUCCACAAAAAUUUUGCAUUUGGUCACAGUUUUUAAUGGCAACAAUUAUUGUUGUGUUGGUUUUUUACUUUUUUGAUUAUCUAAUAUCGGCAUCUCCUCUCUGCAUAUCUAUGUAUUGACUAAUACAUAUUAAGGGCCAUAAGCAAAGAUGGUUCAUUUUAGAAAUGGGCACAUUUGUUUAUAAAUUAUUAGCCAAGAUCUAUUCAAAUCCAGACAUGAUUUGUUCUAGUCUGGAUAUACAAUAAAAUUAAUUUAAAUAAUUUUAAUCAACUUCAAAAACAGCAAAUUCCAAGACAAUUAGGAUAACUUUAAGAACUCAUAUUUAUUGAGUUAACAGAUGGUAAAUUAAAAAACAAUGAAGCUAAUUUUUAAAAUCAUUCAUUGAAUUAAAAAAUAGACUUAUUUAACAAAACUGUUUUUAAGCUGCUUUUUUAUCCUAAUAUGCAUGUUUUAAGAUUCCAAUUUGGGGGAAUCUAGAAAGACACAAAGUGAGUUUCAGUAUAUGAACACUCUUCUACUGAAUUACUUUUUAAAAGCUUCAGAAUCAUCUGAAAAAAACCUAUCAACAAUAAAAAUAUAAGAAAUAAGAAUAUUUCAGUUAUUGGAAGGGAUGGAGGGUUUGCUUCUUCAAUUCCAGUUUGCUUGCUAACGUGGUCCUAUGAUGUAUUAGUUUGUUUUCACGCUGCUGAUGAAGACAUACCUGAGACUGGGCAAUUUACAAAAGAAAGAGGUUUAAUUGAACUUACAGUUCCAUGUGGCUAGGGAAGCCUCACGAUUAUGGUAGAAGGCAAGGAAGAGCAAGUCAUGUCUUGCAUGGAUGGCAGCAGGCAAAGAGAGAGAACUUGUGCAGGGGAACUCCUCUUUUUUGUGAGACUUAUUCACUAUCAUGAGAACAGCAUGGGAAAGACUUGCCCCAGUGAUUCAAUUCCCUCCUACCAGGUUCCUCCCACAACAUGUGAAAAUUCAAGAUGAGAUUUGGGUGGAGACACAGCCAAACCCUAUCAUAUGGUCUUCUGUAUUUCUGACCUUGAAAUAUCUUGAGAGUUUCCUCUGCUAACAGAGUGAAAGUUGCUCCUGGCCAGAACUUUAUUUCUGCAUUUUAAUGGACAAACAUAAAAAACUUCCCAUCUGAUGGCUUCUUGAGCCUAGUGCAUGGGUGACUUGAAAUAUGCUAGCACCACACAGAUAUUUUUUCUUUGAUCUUUUCUGUUUUCUCCUUUGUUUUCUAGUUGUAAGUGCCAGAAGCUGACUGUGAGCUUAUAGGAAAAGGAGAAUUUCAUGGAAGCACACUGAAAGCAUGGGUUCUUUUCCUUUUGGGUUCUCACUUGGUGGGGUCUCCUUGCAGCUUUUGGAGGUGGGGCAAUUAACAUCCCCCAGUACAUGAAGUGUACCAGAAACUGUGGUUGUUUUCAAAUGAGAGUUCAAAUCACUUCUACUUCCUGAGGAUUUUAUAGAUGAAGUUGGAGAUAACACCAUUGAUACAUUAGGAUACAUCAUUUGCAUUUUACCAGCUAUUAUUAGUUUUAACAUGAUGGCAUAUUUAGAACUAGAGUUAUCCAUGUAGAAAUGAAGUUGUUCCAUUAAAAAAAUGGGAAUACAUUUGUUUGAAUGGCUAGUUGCUCAAUUACUGUUAUAGUCUUUACCAUGGGCAGUCACAAACUGUUGUAAUUUAUUUUAUGGUCCUGGAAACUUCUUGUCUAAGAUCUGAUCUUAUUUUACGUUGUAGGUAUUCCAUCACUUGAUCAAUAAUGUUUAGAAUUGUAUAUAUUUGUUUUUGUAGACCAAUUCAUUAGUUGUAAUUUGAGUUAGAAAACAUUUAGAGAUAUAGAAACACAUUUAUUGUUGAGAUUGUAGUAAAAAUUAUUUUAUUGUUAUGCAUUUGAAACUCUUUGGCCCCUAGCCCCCUUUCCUCUGGAAAUAAUUGUUUUUAUAAUACCAAUUUGAUAAUAUGAAUGUUCUUAGGAAUGUAAUUAUAACAGUAUAGUAGGAGAGACUAUAUUGUUUUUAAUUAAACAAAACAGGUGAAAAUAAGAAUAGAUCAUGACCAAAUGAAAAAAUGUACUAGAGAGAUGUAACUUCUGUUUUGCAGAAAUAGAAAUCAAAGAUAUAGAGGAAAAACUUCAUAACUUCAUAAACAUCCAAGGAAAUUAAUAAGAGUUAAAUGGAUAAGAGGUAAUUAGAUGACAAAUUAUGGAGCUCUAAUUUAGAAUGUAAGCUACUUAAUGGCAAUAAACAUCUUGUUGUUACCCAACCCCUAAGACAUAGCUUAACAUAUAGUAUAUACUAUUAUUGUUAAAUAAACAUUAUUUUCUUGAAUUUAUAAAUAAAAUAAUGAGUGUUUUAAAAAUAGAGCAGAUGGAUCAGAAGUAAAAACUUGUUAUAAUGUUAUAAUAAAAUAAAACUUUCCAUAUGUAACAACUACACUGACAUUGUAGGAUUUCUUUUGAGCAAAAUUAAGGAAUGCAAGGCAUAAGUAAAUAAAUUUUUAAAUUUCUGGGACGAAGAAAAUUUCUUAAAGUACAUGUGAAGGAAAAACAUACGCGCUUUUGUAGAUUGCCUUCAUCUUUCUUAUAUAGAACAAGAACUUUUUAAAGAACACAGGUAAAUGUCCACAUAAUUUUAAGAGAAACAAGUUUGAAGUAUACUAGAAACUCUGGUUGUUUCCGUAUGAGAGUUCAAUCACUUCUACUUCCUGAUAUUUUACAAAUGGAAUUGGAGAUAACACCAAUGAUGCACUAAGCUACAACAUUUGCAUUGUACCAGCUAGUAUUAGUUUUAACACGAUGGUAUAUUUGGAACUACAGCUAUUUAUGUAGAAAUGGUGUUGUUCUAUAAAACGUUUUAUGCCUACCCAAUUAUCAGCUUAUACAUAAAAGCAACAGAAUAACAAAUCUUCCAGGUAUCAGAGAACAUAACAACCGAAUGUCUUUUCCUUAAAAAUUGCAGGAAAUAUUGUCCAGAUCACUGAGAGGUGAGAUAGUAUAAAAACUCAAGAAUAAGAAAUUCCAAUAGAAAAGAUUAAUACUAAGCAUUGAAGGCAAAGACAAAAUAAGUGAAAUAUAGUGAAAUCAAAGUGAAUUGGGAAUUGAUUCUGAUAGCUAGAUAUUUUUUACUAAGGGAGCAAUGUUUUCAAUAAAAUAAUCCUGGAGGGUUUUACAUUUUUAAAUAAAGCAUCUAUACCUAGUGAUCACAAUAUGGAAAGAGGACAGGAAGGAAAUAAAAGCAUUAUAAGAAGCAGCAUUGUUGCUUUAUUUUCAAGUCAUUAAAUAAGAAUGCAUAUAAAAGUAUAGUUGUAGACAAUUUAAUGUCGGCACUAGUAGAAUUGAAAGCAGGAUAUCUAUUUUCUAAAUAAUUAUCAAAGAUAGAAAAGCAAACAUAGUCCAUUCAAAAGACAAAAUGAAAGGCAACAACAAGGAAUUAUUGAAGAGAAGAAAGUUUAAGUCCAAUCAAGCUUAAAAAAUAUGACAAGUAUAAAUGGCUUAAAUUUUCCUAUUCAAAUGGAAAGAUCCUUAGAUUAAAUUAAAAUCAAAGUCUAAUGGUUUGGUGGUGCUUAAAAAAGUCAUACGUAAAGGAAAAGAACACAGAAUUAUUUUUUAAUGGCAAAGUUUUUUCCAGCCUAACAUGUUCACGUCCAAAUCAAAAAUACAAUAUGAAUAUCAAACAGGGCAGAAUUUUUGGCAGAAAAACUCCAAAACAGUAAACAUGACAAAAGGGACUAUUUUAUGCUAGUUAAUAAUGUCGUUCUACUGAAGGAAUAAUAGUACUGAAAGAGUAUGCAUUAAAUAACUACAAAUAAAAAAUAAUUUAUACAUUCUGUUUUAAAAAUACAGUAUUACUUACCACAGCAAAAUAAUAUAUAUACAAGCAGUACAAAAGUUUACAAAUUUAGGAGCUAUACAAGUGAAAUACUUUGUAUCAGUAGGUUAAAUAAGAAAUAAAUUAUUAAUUUAAUACGUUUUUUGAAAGCAGAAGAGAAAAUUUACUAUCUGUUCCUGAAAAAAUGUUGAAAAUAGAAUAAAAUAUAUUAUCUUAAUUAUUAAUAUCAAAAUUAAUUAAGAAUACUAAAAAUGUACAUAUUUAAAACAGGAUGGGAUGAAAGUUGCUAUAAUGGUUUUGCCAUAAUAAUAUCAUUUAAUAGUAUUUUUAAAACUCUGAUCAAUGUAAUAAAACAUACCAAGGAAAGAAAAGCUAUAUAGAAUGAAAAAAGAGAUACAACAUUAUGUAUUGAAAAAAUAUUUUUAUAGUUUAGAAACCCAAAGUAGUCAAUGAAAACCUAAAUGAAAAUAAUUGGUAAAAUAUUAAAACAUAUAAACUUUAACAUAAAUCAGCAGUAUAAAUGUAAGCAAUCAUUAACUCAAACAUAAACUUUUAAAAGAGAGAACUAUAAAAAACAAAUUCACAGACUGGUUUCGAGUGUGAAGGAUAACAUUUUUAUAUUGUUAUUUCCCAAGUUUAAUGGAAAUGUAAUAACAAUCUCCCUUUCAUUUUUUACUUUUUGAGGUAGUGGUGAGAGGAAUUUGAUUUUAUUGUAAAUCUAGAAGAAAAAGUAGUCAAGAAUAGCAAAGUUCAAUUUUUAGAAAGAAGGAGUGACUAGUCUUAUCAAAUAUUAAAAUAUAUAAUAAAGUUAUAAUAAUUAAAACCAUACUGGCACCAAAAUAAAUAUAUUAAUGAGGCAAAACAUGUGGGCAAAUAAAUUAUAUAUAAAAAUGAAAUAUUUGAUAAUGGCUGGACCACAGAUUAAAGGAGAGGGAAAAUGUUUUGCAAUAUAUGGACUAAUGGAAAAAAAAUCAGCUUUUACACCCAUUAUGUACAUGAAAUACAUUACGCAAACUCAAACCUUAGGAAGUCUAACGAGACUUUAUUUUAUAGGCUUAAAACAUUGUAAGAAAAUUGCAAAGUGAACAGUAAAAUAGAUUUGAUUAUAUUAAACACUUGAUUAGUUAAAACAACAAUGUAACAAGCAAAGGGUGGCCUAUGUGCAAUUGCAAUUAUUUGAACAUAAUAACAAAGAGUUGAUAUGGUUUCACAAGAGCUCAUACAAACUCAUACUUAAUCAAUAUAUGAGAUAAGAAUGAAAUCACAUUUCAUAAAAUAUGAAAUAUAACACAUUUGCAAGCACAUAAAAAUCCAGCCUUAAUAACAAUCAAAUGAAUAUACACUAAAAAAAAAUGAGUUAUGUUUAGGUUUAAUCAACUAUUUAAAAUUGAUGUCAAGGACUUACACUUUCAGCUGUUACAUUUAGAUCAGCUCAUCCUAUAAGGACAAGUAGAACAAAUAGAAAAGUUGAAUAAAAUCUACCAAACAUUUGUUUAAAAGCACUGGAGAGCCCCACAGUGGAGAGGGCUUGAGAGCAGAGAAUUUAAGAGAGAUCCUAACUGCCUGUCAGAAACUAAAGUAAAACAUCACUUAAAGAAGAGAUGAUCUUCCAGAGGUCUAAAUUAUCUCUACAAUUUUUCAUACACAAUGUCUGGCAUUCAAUAAAAUUACCAGGCAUACCAGAAGACAAGAUAAAAUGACUGAAAACAGAGCUAGAGGAGAUCCAGAUAUAGGAGUAACAAAUUUUAAAAUAUCUAUGCUAUCUUUUAAAAAUUAUAUAAGGAGAUAGAAAAUUUCAACAGAUUACUAUUAACUGUGAUAAAGAAUCAAAUGGAAAUUCCAGAACUGAAAAAUUAACUGAAAUUAAAAACUCAGUAGUUGGAUAUAAGAGCAGAUUAGAAAUUCUUGAAGAACAAACUUAUGAGCAAUAGAAAGUUUGAUGUUAAUACCUAACAAAGUCAGAAAAGGUGUAUUGGAAAAUGGUUUCUCUCAUGUAACUGGUGACAUGUAAACCUAUGUACCACUUUUUGGAAAUACUUUGAUAAUGCGAAUUCACUAUUUGAACAAAAAAAUUUAUAUCUUUUAACCCAGUAAUCUUAUCUCUGGGAAUGUGCCAUAGGAAAUAAGUUUUUAAAUCCACAGUGCCUCAUGUAUGAAGAUAUUCACUACAGACUUAUGAUAGUAAUAACUAUCUACAGACAAUGUUUAAAUACUUUAUUUCAAUUAAUGCAGGUUAAUCCUCACAACAAUCUGUGGUGCUAGUGAACAUUACUAUCCUCAUUGUACAGAUGAGAAAACUGAAACAUUGAGAAGUCAAGUAACUUGCUCAAGAUUAUAUAGCUAGUGCAUAGAGGGGCAAAGAUUUGAACCAGACUGCCUGGUUCCACAUGCACUUUAACCUGCUUUAUUUAGGCUUUUGAAAGCAACCUAAAUAGCUAACAUUCGCUAAAUAAGUGCAGUAUACCUGGUCUGUGUGACAUUAAUUAAAAAGUGACAGGUAUUAAAAAGUGAACAUUCUGAACCCUUUUAGCAACAUGGCAAAUACUUCUGAUGUGAUGUAUGCAUAUAAAUAUGAUCAAAAGCAAAUAUCCCAAAAGGUUAAUGGCAGUUAUGUCAGGUUAGUAGCACAAUAGUUUCUUUUCUCAUUUUCUCACAUUUUUAGUAAUGUGUGUUGCCUAUAUUAAAAAACAAAUAUUAAAAAGUAGUAGCAUGUAUUAGAUCAGAGCAUGGGCUCAGACUGCCUGUGUCAUCUCUUAUUAGACGUAUGACCAGGGACAAGUUAUUGACCUUUUGUUUCUAAGUCUCUAAGUUUGUCCUGUAAAAUGAAGAUAAUUGUAGUAACUACCUAAUAACAUGAUUGUAAGGAUUAAAUUAUUUAGAACACUAUUUGUUACUUGGAAAAUAUGCAAUCAUAAGCUAUUUUGUUGUUAUUGUUAUUUUACUACCAAAGCUUAUUGUUUCAGAGCCCCUAGGUGACCAGGCAAAAUGGCAGUUCCCUCCAGCUGGUCCUCAGAUGGGCACAUCUAUUAGCCUCUGCUCUUGUAAGAAGUUAGCUGCAGAACCCACAUGUGAAUCCUUGUAGGACUCUGGAGAAGAUCAAAUGGGAGCUUAGAUGUGGAAGCUCUUUGGAAACCAAGAAACACUCUGCAAAUGAAAAGGUCUUUCCCCCAAAUGUGAUAAGAAUACAUAGCUACAGAGGGAGGAGCCAAGAUGGCCCAAUAGGAACAGCUCCAGUCUACAGCUCCCAGCCUGAGAGACGCAGAAGACGGUGAUUUCUGCAUUUCCAUCUGAGGUACCGGGUUCAUCUCGCUAGGGAGUGACAGACAGUGGGCACAGGUGGAAGAGUAAACUGUUCCUGUUUCUCCAUCUUGACAGGAAGCAGAAGUUCUCCUUAGCUGAUUUUUCUUCUUGCCUUAUACUGGGUUCUUUAACACCAGAACAAAAAUAAAUAAAUAAAAGAAUCUUCCAGAAAUUCAUGAAGAGACUUCAGGUCAGGAAAGCCUGAACUUUCUCAUCCAACACCUGUUCAAGUCGGAGGAUGCUGAUUAAUUCAUGAUGGAAAGGUAUCAAUUUCACAGCCCAGACCUCUACAUUCUUGAAAUGCUCUUCUCAUGGGAGACAUUAAAUAAGCUUUGAAUUAACUGAGACCUCUGUGGAUUCUAUAACUCAAAGACCCAGGCUGACGGCUGGUGGAAUAGCUACCAUCUCAAACAUGGCGUGAUGCUGCAUCAGAGAGAAAAAUAAGCUCUUGCAUUGACAAUGAAAUGUCUACCCUGUAGUGACUUGUGCUUACUUCCACUCACAAGUGAUUGCCCAGAGCUACUUACCUGGCUCCAAUCUACCACUGGGUGUGUACUUGCAAUCUACCAUGUACCUAGAAGAUGAGAGAAACAAAUUAUUAAUGAUGACCACACCCCAAGACUAACAACAAGUUGCAGAAGAAUCAAUGACUUAAACAAAAAUGUGGCCAUUGAAGGAAUAGAAAAUAUAGUGAGUUUAGUGUAAAUUUAAAAGUGAUUUAUAAGUAACAUACAAAAUCCAGAAACUAUAAGAAAACAGAUUCACAAAUACAAAUAUAUAAAGCUUUAAAAAAGUUUAAUGUAACAAAAAUGGCAUAAAAGGAGUCAAAAGUUUUUAAAAAAUAUGUUAAUGCAGUAGAUUAGGUGCUAAUUUUCUUAAUAUACUCAUAACUCAAUAAGAGAAAUUUUGUAUCUAGAAGAAAAUGAACAUGGAAAUAGGCAAUUCACAGAUAAUGGCAUUCAUCUGGCGAAUAAAAAAAUGUGUGACAUUCAGAAUAAAAUAAAAAUGAAAUACUGGUUUUCAGCCAUCACUUGAGCAAAACUGCAAAGAUACAAUGAGACUCAGGCAUUCCCAUAUACUGUGGAUGGGAGGGCAAAGACCUUUAACCUCUAAUUUUAUUUCUAUUUUUAAACAUGUAUGUUAAAAUUUUAAAUGCUAAUGUCCUCUUGACCCAAUAAUUUUAUGUCUAAGAUUUGAAUCUGGAGAUAAACUUGAACAAAUGCAUCCAGAUUUAUGUAUAAGUGUUAAUAUAGUUUAGAUGUGUGUUCCCACCCAAAUGUCAUAUUGAAAUGUAAUCCCCAGUGUUGGAGGUGGGUCCUGGUGUGAGGUGAUUGGAUUAUGGGGGUGAAUUUCUCAGGAAUGGUUUAACAUCAUCCCCUACGGCCCUGUCCUUGCAUAGUGAGGUGAGUUCUUCUGAGAUCUGGUCAUUUAAAGUGUGCAGCACCUCCCCGCCUCACUCUCUCUUGCUCCUGCUUUUGCUAUGUGAUGUGUGAGCUACUGCUGUGCCUUACACCAUGAUUUGAAGCUCCCUAAUGCCUCCCCGGAAGGAGAUGCUGCCAUGCUUCCUGUACAGCCUGCAGAAUUGUGAGCCAAUUAAACCUCGUUUCUUUAUAAAUUACCCAGGCUCACGUAUUUCUUUAUGGCAAUGCAAGAAUAGACUAAUACUAAUAUGUUCAGUGAAACAUUAUUUGUCAUUAUAACACCCCCAUCCACCAAUGUCCAUAAAUAGGAGAUUAGCUGAAUGAUUUAUAGUACCUACUUAUAACGAAGUAUUAUACAGCCAUUGAAAAGCCUGAAAUAGACUUUUGUGGGCUGAAACAAAAAGCCUAGGAUAGAAUAUUGAUGAAAAAUGAAAUACAAAAAGCAAUCUAUAGUGUGAUUCCACUUGUGUGUGUGUCUUGCAGAUGCAUAGACAAAUUGUGAGCGAAUACGAGAAUGUUAAGAGUGGCAGCCUGUGGGGAGGGCUAAUAGUUCAGGGAGAUAGAGCAGGGCUGUAGAGGAUGUCAAUUAUUUUUUGGCGAUGCUCACUCACCAUUCCUUGUCUUUAUAAAAAAAACCCUUCUCACUCACAUACAUGCUUUGAAGAAGGUGCUUCAUUACUUCAACUCCAGAGAUGGAAGAUGAGACCCAAGCCUGGUAAAAGAGCCUACCCAAUUUCACUACCCACAUUGACUCAUCAAGGGUGUUAUGCGUUGAAAGUUGGUCAAAGCUGAGAGAGUUUUGGGACUUGUAUGUGAGCCUCUGGGACUAUAGAAAACUCUUUUCUUCUGAGUGUGAGUCUGGAGGAUGUAUGCUUGAACUACUCCAGCCUAUGAAUGUUAUGAAAGAGGAAACAAAACAAUGAGGAAGAAGCAUAGCGGAUAUGUCCAGAACAGAUCAUUGGACAUUUCAGUUAAAUAAACAACAAUAAACAAACAAACAAACAAACAAGCAAUUUUUCCCCUUAGGCAACUUUGAAUUAGGACCUACCUAGAUGAGUUCUUUUCCUUUAUUUUAAUAUUAUGUUCAGUUUGAAUAAAUAUAUGUAGUUUUGUAGUAAGAAGCAUUUUGUAAAUAAGAAGAUUCUAUCCACUUUGUAAUCACACUUUUAAAAAGAUGCACAAUAGAAAGCUUGGGUAUAUAAACUGAGACAUUUCCUAAAUGUAAUACAAGACAGCCAUUAAAAAAUAAUGAGGUUUAUUUAUGUGUAUUCAUGUGGAAAGAUACUCUAAAAGAGUGAGAAAAUAUCAGGUUCCAGAAAAAUCACUUAGAAUACAUUUUCAUUUAUAUAAAAGAAAAAGAUGUUUAUAUGUGUAUUACAAUCCAAAAAGCUAUACAGCAGAUUAAUCAGUUCCUAAGUAUGGGGUUAUGGGUGGGGGACUUCACUUCCUAUUUUAUACACCAAUGUCUGUAAAUAUUUUAUCCCCAUUCUUAGGUGAUAAAGACCUCAAGGAUGAGUUUCAUCUCAUCUUUGAAUUCUUCAGAUCACCGGCUCAUAUUAGGUAACAAAUAUAUGUUUGUGGAGUAAAUGAGUUUGGAAAAAAGGAAACAUAAAAUUAAUUAAGAGGAGGAUUUUACUUCACAGAAUAAGGAAAAUCCAGCAGUUUUGUGUGCAUUAAAGGCAAAUUUCCAAUAUUAGCAGAUCCAUAGGCUUUGAAAAAAUAAUCAGUUCACAAGACCCACCCCCCCCACCACAAUUCUAGUUGGUCCUUUGCAGCUAGAGUUACUCAGAUAAUAAGUAACAUUUUAUGUGUUUUCUUUUUAACUGGAGAUUUUUUUCAUAGAGGUACUAAUAGUUAGGAUAUUUUAGGGUUAUGCUAUAGUAACAAGCCCAAAAUCUCAGUGGUUUCAAAAGUAAAAGUGUAUUUCUUAUGUUUGAAACCACUGAGAUUUCAUGCCACAUUUCCAAAGCAAAGUAGCAGUAGUACUGUUCAUUCUAGUCACUCAAGAACUCAGCAGAUGAAGUCUGUGUCUCAAAAUGUGCAUCCACGAUCACAUCGGAAAGGAAAAGUCAUGGCAAAUUCUGCAAUGGUUCUUCAAAUUGUCAUCUGGAGGUGACGUACACUCUUAGGUUUCAUUGGACCAUGCAAAUCACAUGAACAUGUCUCACUUCAAGGAGGUAGGGAAGUGCCGUCUUACCACAUGCAUGUUCUGAAGAAUAAUAGAUGAGAUUUACUUCCAUGCAACAUCACCCACAUUUACAUACUUUUCAACAUUCCAGUUUGGUGUCCCUUCCUUGAAGUCUAUUUAAAAAUGCUUGUAUCAUAACCACUUGCCCACAAAUUACUUCCCAGAACACAUGAUUUUACCUAUUAGCAGUGUGUUAACAAUUUUGUUUAAAAUAAAAAUUCUCUUGACUUGUUAAUUGCCAUUUUCAGCAAAUGCAAAGCAAACUGCAGCACUGCCAUGUUCCCUAGGGUGAGUGGGAGGCUCAAUAAAUACUAAGGGGUGAGAAUAUUUGCCUUGAUUAAAAUGAUAAAGUAAAUACUUAUAUUUGAAAAUGUUAAUCUGAGUAAUAAGAGCUCUAAUUUUUUUUAGUCAUCAUGCAUGAUAUAAAAUAUAUAAUUUAUUGUGAAAUAAACUGCCCUAAGUAGGCCAAAUAUUGUCACCUUUACUGGCUAAUUUGAACUCCAGCAUAUAUAAACUUCCUGCUCAUUUUUGGUAUUAUCAUAACAUUCUUUGUUUUAUAAAAAUUUUUUUUAUUUGUAUUGUUUAUAGCAGAGAUGUUAUUCUACGCAUUUUCUGUUCAAGUUUCACUUAUUUAUAAAUAUAGUCAUUUAAAUUUCCAUUGCCAAAUUCACACAUUUAAUAGAAAUAAAUUUGAAGCAACCUUGAUAAACACAAAUGAAAGUAAAAAAACACAGAGUAUUACAGUUUCUAAGAAUACAUUUAAAGCUGUGUAUAUCAAUCAGAAAUAACAGGCCAUAUUCAACCACCACAAAAAUGACUAAGGCUUUACUUGAAUAGUCUGCGAAUCCUUUGCAACGUUAUUGAGUAUAAUUUUAUUUAGCAUAGCACUGAGGCACUAAGUGCUGUCUAGUGUUUCCAAGCAGAAGAAGCCCCUGUGAUGUACCUUAUGAGGAAAAUGACAAACUUAUUUGUGUUAAAUAAGCUUCAUUCAUGUAACAUGAAUAUCAGGCAUGCAUUAUAGUGCUUUUGGCUCUGAGUUCAAUAUUAAUGAAUCAACUACAUAUAUGUUAAAUACUUGCAAGAAAUAUGUUUGUCUGGCAUCAUGGGAAUGAGUAAUUAAAUUAUGUCAUUAUAAAACAGAAUAUGAUAUUUAUUAAAAAUUUAAAUUAUCAAUAGUGGAAAAGAAAAAUGCAUAAGUUGUCUACUGGAACUAUUUAGAACAAUAUGCAUAGGAGGGAAAUACAACAAAUUAUAAAGAGGAUUAUCUCUGUGUGCUGGGAUUAGAGGGAUUUUUAUUAUUUUGUAUUAUUCUCUUCCUUGUAAAUUUACCAUUUCAAGUAUUUUAGGGUGAUAAAAUUUAUUAGUUUUAUAAUUAGAAAAAUUUAUACUUUUUUUGUCUUCAUACCAAGAUAUUAUAUUGUGGGUCGUUGGUUUUAUCUGCGCUAGGUCAGACGUUUGCUGAAUUCAGUUCUGAGCUUUUGAACCAAAAGCAGAUCUUCAGAACAAGAAACAAGAUAAUAAAAGAGAAACAUGAAGAAACUGAAGAUGAUUGGAGAAAUAUGAAUCAAGAUGAUUAGACCUAGCAGAGGGCUGGCUGGAUGGCAUUUAUGUUGACAGUGGACUCCUACACAGAGGAUGAUCAUGGUCUAGGACAUAAUAGUCAUUCAAUCAUCAUUUCUUAAAUGAUUUUUUAAAACAAGUGAAUGAAUGACCAAUUAUAUAUCUUCCCUGAGCCAAUAAAAUAUAUUAAAAGUAU